rnacentral:rRNA from 1 species
UACAGAGGGCCCAAGCGUUGUUCGGAUUUACUGGGCGGAAAGGGGGCGCAGGUGGCUGGAUAAGUUUGAUGUGAAAUCUUCGGGCUUAACCCGGAAAAGGCAUUGAAUACUAUUCGGCUGGAGGUUUGGAGGGGGGACUGGAAUUCUCGGUGUAGCAGUGAAAUGCGUAGAUAUCGAGAGGAACACCAGUGGCGAAGGCGAGUCCCUGGACAACACCUGACACUGAGGCACGAAAGCUAGGGGAGCAAACAGG